AUUGAACGCUGGCGGCAGGCUUAACACAUGCAAGUCGAGCGGAGUGAUGGUGCUUGCACUAUCACUUAGCGGCGGACGGGUGAGUAAUGCUUAGGAAUCUGCCAUUUAGUGGGGGACAACAUUCCGAAAGGAAUGCUAAUACCGCAUACGUCCUACGGGAGAAAGCAGGGGAUCUUCGGACCUUGCGCUAAAUGAUGAGCCUAAGUCGGAUUAGCUAGUUGGUGGGGUAAAGGCCUACCAAGGCGACGAUCUGUAGCGGGUCUGAGAGGAUGAUCCGCCACACUGGGACUGAGACACGGCCCAGACUCCUACGGGAGGCAGCAGUGGGAAAUAUUGGACAAUGGGCGGAAGCCUGAUCCAGCCAUGCCGCGUGUGUGAAGAAGGCCUUUUGGUUGUAAAGCACUUUAAGCGAGGAGGAGGCUACUAGUACUAAUACUAUUGGAUAGUGGACGUUACUCGCAGAAUAAGCACCGGCUAACUCUGUGCCAGCAGCCGCGGUAACAC
rnacentral:rRNA from 1 species